UACGUAGGGUGCAAGCGUUGUCCGGAAUUAUUGGGCGUAAAGAGCUCGUAGGCGGUCUGUCGCGUCGGCUGUGAAAACUCGGGGGCUCAACCCCGAGCCUGCAGUCGAUACGGGCAUCACUGGAGUUCGGCAGGGGAGACUGGAAUUCCUGGUGUAGCGGUGAAAUGCGCAGAUAUCAGGAGGAACACCGGUGGCGAAGGCGGGGUCUCUGGGGACGGUACUGACGCUGAGACGCGAAAGCGUGGGGAGCGAACAGG
rnacentral:rRNA from 1 species